AGAGUUUGAUCCUGGCUCAGGAUGAACGCCGGCGGUGUGCCUAAUACAUGCAAGUCGUACGCACUGGCCCAGCUGAUUGACGGUGCUUGCACCAGAUUGACGCUGGAUACCCAGUGAGUGGCGGACGGGUGAGUAACACGUGGGUAACCUGCCCCGGAGCGGGGGAUAACAUUUGGAAACAGAUGCUAAUACCGCAUAACAACGAAAACCACAUGGUUUUCGUUUGAAAGAUGGCAUAUGCUAUCACUCUGGGAUGGACCCGCGGUGCAUUAGCUAGUUGGUAAGGUAACGGCUUACCAAGGCGAUGAUGCAUAGCCGAGUUGAGAGACUGAUCGGCCACAAUGGAACUGAGACACGGUCCAUACUCCUACGGGAGGCAGCAGUAGGGAAUCUUCCACAAUGGGCGCAAGCCUGAUGGAGCAACACCGCGUGAGUGAAGAAGGGUUUCGGCUCGUAAAGCUCUGUUGUUGGAGAAGAACGUACCUGAGAGUAACUGUUCAGGUAGUGACGGUAUCCAACCAGAAAGUCACGGCUAACUACGUGCCAGCAGCCGCGGU
rnacentral:rRNA from 1 species